UACGUAGGGGGCAAGCGUUGUCCGGAUUUAUUGGGCGUAAAGAGCGUGUAGGCGGCCAGAUAGGUCCGUUGUGAAAACUCGAGGCUCAACCUCGAGACGCCGAUGGAAACCAUCUGGCUAGAGUCCGGAAGAGGAGAGUGGAAUUCCUGGUGUAGCGGUGAAAUGCGCAGAUAUCAGGAAGAACACCCGUGGCUAAGGCGGCUCUCUGGGACGGUACUGACACUG
rnacentral:rRNA from 1 species